CGUAUGGCGCAAGCGUUGUCCGGAAUUAUUGGGCGUAAAGAGCUCGUAGGCGGUCUGUUACGUCCGCUGUGAAAACCCAGGGCUUAACCCUGGGCUUGCAGUGGAUACGGGCAGACUAGAGGCAGGUAGGGGAGAAUGGAAUUCCCGGUGUAGCGGUGAAAUGCGCAGAUAUCGGGAGGAACACCGGUGGCGAAGGCGGUUCUCUGGGCCUUACCUGACGCUGAGGAGCGAAAGCGUGGGGAGCGAACAGG
rnacentral:rRNA from 1 species